UUAAGCGACUAAGCGUACACGGUGGAUGCCCUGGCAGUCAGAGGCGAUGAAGGACGUGCUAAUCUGCGAUAAGCGUCGGUAAGGUGAUAUGAACCGUUAUAACCGGCGAUUUCCGAAUGGGGAAACCCAGUGUGUUUCGACACACUAUCAUUAACUGAAUCCAUAGGUUAAUGAGGCGAACCGGGGGAACUGAAACAUCUAAGUACCCCGAGGAAAAGAAAUCAACCGAGAUUCCCCCAGUAGCGGCGAGCGAACGGGGAGCAGCCCAGAGCCUGAAUCAGUGUGUGUGUUAGUGGAAGCGUCUGGAAAGGCGCGCGAUACAGGGUGACAGCCCCGUACACAAAAAUGCACAUGCUGUGAGCUCGAUGAGUAGGGCGGGACACGUGGUAUCCUGUCUGAAUAUGGGGGGACCAUCCUCCAAGGCUAAAUACUCCUGACUGACCGAUAGUGAACCAGUACCGUGAGGGAAAGGCGAAAAGAACCCCGGCGAGGGGAGUGAAAAAGAACCUGAAACCGUGUACGUACAAGCAGUGGGAGCACGCUUAGGCGUGUGACUGCGUACCUUUUGUAUAAUGGGUCAGCGACUUAUAUUCUGUAGCAAGGUUAACCGAAUAGGGGAGCCGAAGGGAAACCGAGUCUUAACUGGGCGUUAAGUUGCAGGGUAUAGACCCGAAACCCGGUGAUCUAGCCAUGGGCAGGUUGAAGGUUGGGUAACACUAACUGGAGGACCGAACCGACUAAUGUUGAAAAAUUAGCGGAUGACUUGUGGCUGGGGGUGAAAGGCCAAUCAAACCGGGAGAUAGCUGGUUCUCCCCGAAAGCUAUUUAGGUAGCGCCUCGUGAAUUCAUCUCCGGGGGUAGAGCACUGUUUCGGCAAGGGGGUCAUCCCGACUUACCAACCCGAUGCAAACUGCGAAUACCGGAGAAUGUUAUCACGGGAGACACACGGCGGGUGCUAACGUCCGUCGUGAAGAGGGAAACAACCCAGACCGCCAGCUAAGGUCCCAAAGUCAUGGUUAAGUGGGAAACGAUGUGGGAAGGCCCAGACAGCCAGGAUGUUGGCUUAGAAGCAGCCAUCAUUUAAAGAAAGCGUAAUAGCUCACUGGUCGAGUCGGCCUGCGCGGAAGAUGUAACGGGGCUAAACCAUGCACCGAAGCUGCGGCAGCGACACUAUGUGUUGUUGGGUAGGGGAGCGUUCUGUAAGCCUGUGAAGGUGUGCUGUGAGGCAUGCUGGAGGUAUCAGAAGUGCGAAUGCUGACAUAAGUAACGAUAAAGCGGGUGAAAAGCCCGCUCGCCGGAAGACCAAGGGUUCCUGUCCAACGUUAAUCGGGGCAGGGUGAGUCGACCCCUAAGGCGAGGCCGAAAGGCGUAGUCGAUGGGAAACAGGUUAAUAUUCCUGUACUUGGUGUUACUGCGAAGGGGGGACGGAGAAGGCUAUGUUGGCCGGGCGACGGUUGUCCCGGUUUAAGCGUGUAGGCUGGUUUUCCAGGCAAAUCCGGAAAAUCAAGGCUGAGGCGUGAUGACGAGGCACUACGGUGCUGAAGCAACAAAUGCCCUGCUUCCAGGAAAAGCCUCUAAGCAUCAGGUAACAUCAAAUCGUACCCCAAACCGACACAGGUGGUCAGGUAGAGAAUACCAAGGCGCUUGAGAGAACUCGGGUGAAGGAACUAGGCAAAAUGGUGCCGUAACUUCGGGAGAAGGCACGCUGAUAUGUAGGUGAAGCCCCUGCGGGUGGAGCUGAAAUCAGUCGAAGAUACCAGCUGGCUGCAACUGUUUAUUAAAAACACAGCACUGUGCAAACACGAAAGUGGACGUAUACGGUGUGACGCCUGCCCGGUGCCGGAAGGUUAAUUGAUGGGGUUAGCGGCAACGCGAAGCUCUUGAUCGAAGCCCCGGUAAACGGCGGCCGUAACUAUAACGGUCCUAAGGUAGCGAAAUUCCUUGUCGGGUAAGUUCCGACCUGCACGAAUGGCGUAAUGAUGGCCAGGCUGUCUCCACCCGAGACUCAGUGAAAUUGAACUCGCUGUGAAGAUGCAGUGUACCCGCGGCAAGACGGAAAGACCCCGUGAACCUUUACUAUAGCUUGACACUGAACAUUGAGCCUUGAUGUGUAGGAUAGGUGGGAGGCUUUGAAGUGUGGACGCCAGUCUGCAUGGAGCCGACCUUGAAAUACCACCCUUUAAUGUUUGAUGUUCUAACGUUGACCCGUAAUCCGGGUUGCGGACAGUGUCUGGUGGGUAGUUUGACUGGGGCGGUCUCCUCCUAAAGAGUAACGGAGGAGCACGAAGGUUGGCUAAUCCUGGUCGGACAUCAGGAGGUUAGUGCAAUGGCAUAAGCCAGCUUGACUGCGAGCGUGACGGCGCGAGCAGGUGCGAAAGCAGGUCAUAGUGAUCCGGUGGUUCUGAAUGGAAGGGCCAUCGCUCAACGGAUAAAAGGUACUCCGGGGAUAACAGGCUGAUACCGCCCAAGAGUUCAUAUCGACGGCGGUGUUUGGCACCUCGAUGUCGGCUCAUCACAUCCUGGGGCUGAAGUAGGUCCCAAGGGUAUGGCUGUUCGCCAUUUAAAGUGGUACGCGAGCUGGGUUUAGAACGUCGUGAGACAGUUCGGUCCCUAUCUGCCGUGGGCGCUGGAGAACUGAGGGGGGCUGCUCCUAGUACGAGAGGACCGGAGUGGACGCAUCACUGGUGUUCGGGUUGUCAUGCCAAUGGCACUGCCCGGUAGCUAAAUGCGGAAGAGAUAAGUGCUGAAAGCAUCUAAGCACGAAACUUGCCCCGAGAUGAGUUCUCCCUGACUCCUUGAGAGUCCUGAAGGAACGUUGAAGACGACGACGUUGAUAGGCCGGGUGUGUAAGCGCAGCGAUGCGUUGAGCUAACCGGUACUAAUGAACCGUGAGGCUUAACCUU
rnacentral:rRNA from 1 species